rnacentral:rRNA from 1 species
GAUGAACGCUGGCGGCGUGCCUAAUACAUGCAAGUCGAGCGAACAGACGAGGAGCGUGCUCCUCUGACGUUAGCGGCGGACGGGUGAGUAACACGUGGAUAACCUACCGAUAAGACUGGGAUAACUUCGGGAAACCGGAUCUAAUACCCGAUAAUAUAUUGAACCGCAUGGUUCAAUAGUGAAAGACGGUUUUGCUGUCACUUAUAGAUGGAUCCGAGUCGCAUUAGCUAGUUGGUAAGGUAACGGCUUACCAAGGCUACGAUGCGUAGCCGACCUGAGAGGUUGAUCAGCCACACUGGAACUGAGACACGGUCCAGACUCCUACGGGAGGCAGCAGUAGGGAAUCUUGCGCAAUGGGGGAAAGCCUGACGGAGCAACGCCGCGUGAGUGAUGAAGGUCUUCGGAUCGUAAAGCUCUGUUAGUAGGGACGAACAAAUGUGUAAGUAACUAGGCACGUCUUGACGGUACCUGAUCAGAAAGCCACGGCUAACUACGUG